rnacentral:rRNA from 1 species
AGCAGCCGCGGUAAUUCCAGCUCCAAUAGCGUAUAUUAAAGUUGCUGCAGUUAAAAAGCUCGUAGUUGAAUUUCGGGAUCGAUAUAUCGGUCGUGCCUCGGUACGUACUGGUAUUUCGGUUUCUACCUUCUGACGAACCUUGAUGUCAUUAAUUUGGUGUCUUGGGGAAUCAGGACUGUUACUUUGAAAAAAUUAGAGUGUUUAAAGCAGGCUCACGCUUGAAUACAUUAGCAUGGAAUAAUGAAAUAGGACG